UACGGGGGGGGCAAGCGUUAAUCGGAAUUACUGGGCGUAAAGCGCACGUAGGUGGUUUGUUAAGCUAGCUGUGAAAUCCCCGGGCUCAACCUGGGCACUGCAGUUAGAACUGGCAAGCUAGAGUAGGGUAGAGGGGUGUGGAAUUCCAGGUGUAGCGGUGAAAUGCGUAGAUAUCUGGAGGAACAUCAGUGGCGAAGGCGACACCCUGGACUCAUACUGACACUGAGGUGCGAAAGCGUGGGGAGCAAACAGG
rnacentral:rRNA from 1 species